rnacentral:rRNA from 1 species
CCCUUAGAUGUUCUGGGCUGCACGCGCGCGACAAUGACGUUUGCAACGAGAUACGAGACCGAAAGGUUAAGUUGAUCUAGCAAGCUGCGUCGUGAUAGGGACUGUCGAUUGCAAUUAUUCGACACGAACGAGGAAUUCCUUGUAAUCGCACAUCAUCAGUGUGCGCUGAAUACGUCCCCGCCCUUUGUACACACCGCCCGUCGCUCCUACCGAUCGAGUGAUCCGGUGAAUGUUUUGGAUCGGUUGCAAGUUGCGCGACGCGCUUCUUGCAUGCUGUGAAAUCAUGUAAGCCUUAUUGCUUAGAGGAAGGAGAAGUCGUAACA